UCUAGAUGGAGACAGAAAAGGAGAGGUGGAGUGUGGCCCCGGAGCGUCAGCUGAGGGUGACCCUUUCCAGACUCGCAGGGCCCAGCGGACAUGGACCUGCUCUGGUGAUUCUAACGUCAGGUCCUCCUGGCAGAAGAGAGAUGAUGGAUCCCGGGGACUGGGAAUAACUUGCCCAGGAGGCCGCUGGAUCAUGGCUGGAGCAGACACUGCUUUGAGCACCGAGGCCUGGAGGCCAGCUGGACGGCCCCCACGUGGAUGAAGAAAUGGCCAGGGGUUUGCAGAUGCCACGAGGAUACAGUGAGAAGGCAGCCGGCUAGUGACCAGAAAGUGAGGCGUCACCAGAUGCCAAAUAUGCCGGCGCCUUGAUCUC